ACCUCCCGUCGCUACUACCAACUGAAUGGUUUAGUAAAGUCUUUGGAUUGGUGUUGAUUUAUUGACUUUGAUGCUCGACUGAUGCUAAGAAGAUGACUUAAUUUGACUAUUUAGAGGAAGUAAAAGUUAUAACAAGGUUUCCAUAGGUGAACCUACGGAAA
rfam:Schistosoma mansoni strain Puerto Rico chromosome 5, complete genome